AAAGGCCCGCUUUCGCGAUGCCGAUCCCGCGCCGACUUCAAGGUGGCGGUCACCAUUGUGCGCUCGGCGGAGGCUGAGCACACUUGGGUGAUGAUGCGAGGCGUAACGCCACAGGCUGGAAACAGAGCACGGAGAAGCUUCCGCCGUCACCAGUGGAGCGAUCACGUGGGUGAGU
rnacentral:SRP_RNA from 1 species